rnacentral:rRNA from 1 species
UUAGCGGCGGACGGGUGAGUAACACGUGGCAACCUGCCCUGCAGACUGGGAUAACUUCGGGAAACCGGAGCUAAUACCGGAUAACACCGAAAACCGCAUGGUUUUCGGUUGAAAGGCGGCUUUUAGCUGUCACUGCAGGAUGGGCCCGGGGCAUUAGCUAGUUUGGUGAGGUAACCGGGUCACCAAAGGGCGAUGAUGCCGUUAAGCCGACUGAGCAGGGUGGACCGGCACACUGGGACUGAGACACGGGCCAAGACUCCUUACGGGGAGGCAGCAAGGCAAGGGGGAAUCUUUCCCGGAAUGGGCCGGAAAAGGUCCCUGGAACGGGAGCCAAAGGCCCGGGCGUUGGAAGCGCGCAAGCAAAGGGGNCCAACCGGGAAACCCGGACAAAGGUCCCGGGGUGGGCCCAGAGGGGAAAGACACACCCACAAGUGGCAAACCGGGUUCCGAAACAACGGGGGCCCAGGGGGGAAAAACACCCCUCCUUGUGGGAGCAACACGGGGGGGNAACACCCACUNCGGGGGGACAACCCACAAAGNGGGGAAGAAAAGACCCCCCACCACACNAGGGGGGCUGCAUCAAAACCUUCUCUCACACAA